GAUGAACGCUGGCGGCGUGCCUAAUACAUGCAAGUCGAGCGAACGGACGAGAAGCUUGCUUCUCUGAUGUUAGCGGCGGACGGGUGAGUAACACGUGGAUAACCUACCUAUAAGACUGGGAUAACUUCGGGAAACCGGAGCUAAUACCGGAUAAUAUUUUGAACCGCAUGGUUCAAAAGUGAAAGACGGUCUUGCUGUCACUUAUAGAUGGAUCCGCGCUGCAUUAGCUAGUUGGUAAGGUAACGGCUUACCAAGGCAACGAUGCAUAGCCGACCUGAGAGGGUGAUCGGCCACACUGGAACUGAGACACGGUCCAGACUCCUUCGGGAGGCAGCAGUAGGGAAUCUUCCGCAAUGGGCGAAAGCCUGACGGAGCAACGCCGCGUGAGUGAUGAAGGUCUUCGGAUCGUAAAACUCUGUUAUUAGGGAAGAACAUAUGUGUAAGUAACUGUGCACAUCUUGACGGUACCUAAUCAGAAAGCCACGGCCAACUACGUG
rnacentral:rRNA from 1 species